UGUGUGUGUGUGUAUGCAUGUAGGUGUAUAUAUUUUGUUACUAAAAUAGUGUAGGCCAGCACACACUUUGGAAAGUAUAUCCUCCCAGUACAGGAUAGAGCUAGAGCUGUGACUCAGGCUGUUUACAGUCUAGAUCAGAGAUACUGUGUUCCUCCUCCCUUUUCAAGACCCAGAUCCUGUAUGUUGGCAACAGCAUGUGGGCAUAGGGAAAUCAGACGUCUUCAGUGUGGUUGGUGGAGACAGUGUUCUAAGUCUUCUAGUUCUGCUGGAUACCAGUGUCUUCCACCAAUGUGGAGACUUUAGUAUAGAUGGUUAUUUGUUUAAGAAGUGUCCACCUUCAUCCAGACCCCUUCUGUCAAUGAGGACUCCUACAGGGAAGGGUAGCCAUGGCUUCCCCCACUGGUCCCUGUUUAGUGGUCCGCUGUUCACAGGGUGGCUGUGCUAAUGAACAUCCCUUCCCCAUCCUUCUACUUCAUGGUUCUGCACAUGGAGGUGCUGGAACUGGUAAGGGCCUCUUAUGUGCCCUCCACUGGCCCUAGUCCUUUUUUUUUUUUACCAGUCUAGCUACAUAUGCUACAACCUUCUUUGGGCCUUGUGCUUAAGACAUGGACUGUUCUAGCUAGUCCUUUUCUUUCGGAAAUCUCCAGAGGCUUAGCUGCAUCGAUCUCUAUGUUCAGAUGCUUUCAGCUUCUGCAGCUCUGGUAGCAGACAACUUGGGACCAAUCUGCCUAUCUGUCCUUGUGUCUCUCAAAGUUGAAGUGCCCACUUGAUGACCCCCAUGAGACCAGACUUCCAGCCUCUCCCUUGCCUUGGUUCUGUCCUUGGGAGCGUUGAUUGAGGGCAGCAGCCUAGUUUUACUACUUUUUAGCAAACCUUAGGGGAGCUAUGUGGACAAAAUUUUUGGUGCUUUCCUUCAGAUUUAGGCAGGUACUGCUUCUUACUUUCAGCUGCCGGCUCUUGUUACUGAUUGUGGGACAAUUAGACAAAUGUCAGUGAGCAUCUUGUUAGAUGAUGAUCAGGUACGUUAAGGAAACAAUAUUGCAGAUAGAGGAAAAUAUAAUCAGAUUUGUAUUUUAUAGCGUUAAAAGUGUAAUUUAAAUAAAAGAUCUCAAUGGAAUUGGACCUUUGCUAACUUACCAGAAAUUGAAACAUAAGAACUGUGAAUUCACCGUGUUUCUUAGUUAUCAGGUUUUCCAGUUUAAUUAUCUGGUACUUUCUGUAUAAAGGGAGUUUAGACCACUAGGUGGCGCUUUAUAAUUAGCAAAUGCUAGCGUUCUAGUGCCCGUACGGAGAUCAAUCUCACAAAGCAGUGGCUAGUGAGAACAGCCAGUGGCAGUCUGAAGACAUAGGUUUAAAAUGAGAAAGAAGGAAAGAAAUGAAGAGCUAAAGACAAAAAGAGAAAAGAAGUAGGAUGCGCUCUUCCCUCAGCCAGUAUGGAUGGACUGCAAUUAAAGGGGACCAAUAAAGUGAAACUAAGAAUGAAACAAUGUCCUCUUAGCAGUGUGGAAGCCUAUGCAAAGGGGGGAUUAUCAGAUGCAUUUGAACACUCCAAUCAGCUGUGGUAAAACCUAUUUUUAUAAAAGGCAAGAGUAAAUAAAUGCACAAUUCAGAGUAGUGAUGAUCAUUGGGAAGGAGGAAGGAAGAUGGGAUUCAGGAGGGCUCCAUGCAUAAUUUCAUUGGGAUUGGGAAUGUUCUAAUCAAUAAGUUGGAUGAUGGAUUCAUAGAUAGGUAUUUUAUCAUUAUGCUUCAUGGCCUAUGUAGGAUAUAUAUUAUUUUAUUCUGUGAAAUGUUGCAUAAUUUUAAGAAGUCAAGAUAUUUCAGUAAACAUUUUCCAGUCUUAAUUUAUUAGAAGUUUUUCCUUAGGAUACAUGCUGAGAGAAAAACUGAACUCAUUCAGUUAGCCAAACUAUUUCUCCACUAUCUGUUCAUCUAUCCAUCUCUUUUUUACUUUAGUUUUUGAAACAUAAUAAAAAUAAUGUAGAGGUCCUUUCACAUGACCUGAAUGUCCUGUUUCCCUGCCUCCUAAAAGUUCCAUGUACUCUGUCCAGAACCAAGUUUUAUAGGUCAAAAGGAUUCUGUCUGGGCUGGCCAGCCAGACAUUUAGGUAUUCAUUACCUCUGUGUGUGUGUGUGUGUGUGUGUGUGUGUGUGUGUAUUUAAUAAUAUUUGUAUAUGGCUUAGCUAGGGAUUUUGAAAUCUUUGUAGGGUUUUCCUGUUUGCUGGGUGGUUUUGGAAUUGAGGGCCAUCAGUAGAAAAAAAAGAAAAAUACUGUUUCUUCUUUCAUCUAUGUCCCAUAUUAUACAAGUGUUCACCGAAAAUAGCACCAAUUUUCUGGGAAAGGCCAUGACUGAAGCUGUUCUCACCCUUUACCCCUGCUCUCCAAUUCAUGUUUCCUUAUUACGUGGUCAUAUGCUUGCCCAAGACUGACUUAUGAACCGUGUAGAGUAUUUGUGAAUUUUUGUUUUUUAAACCCUGCACUGUGCACAUGAUGCAGUAUUGAAUUUGGAAUGAGCUCUGAGUUUAGUAACACGUGCUUCUUGUGGUGUUUAUCUUGGAAUCCACAAGUAGGAGGGAAGUAUUUUUGCAUUUUAUACAUCUGGACAUUGUUCAUGGUCCUCCUGUGACUUGGGAAUUCUGUGUGGGGCAAAAUCCAAAGAACAGUAUUAAAAAUAACAUGGAGUUAUAAUGACAUCUGAGUAAAAACCCUUGAGAAUACCCUUCUGAUCCUAGCAGAGUUUGAUUUUGAUGGUGAACUUUCUCAAUUUUGUGGUUCACUGUUGGUCUAAGUAGAUUGCUGGGAUAAUAAGGUUACCUGACACUCUUACAUGUAGACUGAUGGGCUGCCAGACUUUCCGAAAGUCUACAGCAGAUCUGGCUUUUUUAGGGAAAGGUUUUUGCUUUGCUUUUGCCUGGGGUGAGAGAGGUAAAGUAGAUUCUGCUUGCUGCUGUUGUGCCUCUGCCAGUCUCUUUGUCCACAGUCAACUUAAGACACCUGUGAGGGUCUUCCUAUUCGCUCCAUUGACCCUGCCUCAUUCUGUCUAGCCUUGAGCUGAAGGUUGAUCCUGAGAACACCUCAGAUGCUGUGUCAGGAAUGGGAGGGGGUUGUCUAGGAACCUUAUCUUUCCCCUGCUUACAUAUGACAAGUUGUUGUUUUAAACAGGAUUGGGUGUGGUCUGGUACAGUACCUCCUCCUUUGGGCUAGGGGUAAGCUAGAAUGGAAGAAAUGGGAAGGGUUGUGUAGAAGCCUCACUACUUUCUGAAUGAGUUUGCAUAUGGACAGUAUUGUUUUUUAGCCCAGAUCUAGUUUUCAUUCUCACAGCUCAUCUUUUAUGCAGCUGCAGAGAGCUGGCUGGGAAAGCAGCAUCAAAGCUUCAAACAGAUUUGCACUUGAAUAAAAGAGAGUGAGUGAUUCGCUUGUUCAGAGUACAGACCAGUUUGAGGAGAAAACUAUUUGCUUUUCCACUUUCUAGGUAAGGACUGUUUGCUUUUUUCCCUUCAAGUAUAAUAAACAGAGGAAAAAGCUAACAAAAUAGUUGAACCUGCUGGUUAUAAUUCAUAUAGAAUUUCCAAAUGUGCUUAAUAAGGUUUCUCGUACAAUUAUAAAAGAAAUAAAUAAUUGGAGGGCCAAGGUCAAAAUUCUGUCAAGGUUUUAGAAUCAGUUGAAUAUGAGGUCGUUUAAGUGCUUAGAUAAGACAACUCAAGCAGAAGCUGUUCCUCUUUCUGGUUUCUUUGGCUUUCCCUUUGGGAAUUUUUUCCCUUUGCUUUCGUAAUGCAUUUUGCAACUUUCAGUUAAAAAAUAUCCAUCCAAGUUUAACUUUUAGCAAAUAAACACAUCCUGAUCCUAUGAUGGGAAUACAACAUAGCAGAGGAUGGCUUGACUUCAGCUGGAGAGAGGUUAAUAGGAGGAACUCCAAGGGUUGAUACCAAGAUCGUGCUUGUUUAAUGUUUUAAUGACUCCAGAAGGAAAUGGUGAAAUCUGCUGAUGACACCAAAAUAUUUUUGCUGAUCCAAAUGGGGAUUUCUGGGAAGCUUCUUCAGAGUAUUUGGAAUAGUGGAAGAAUUGGGCAAUGUGGUGGAAGACACACCACCCUUGAAGUGAAGGUCUAUGUGAAGUAGUAGGAGUAAUGUCAAUAUACUGGAGUUACCAAGCCUGCCAAAUCCUCCAAGAGCCGGACUGGAGCCCCUAUAGAGGGCUUGGUUUUGAUUCUUCUUGUGAAAGGAAGACUUAGGGCACAGAACAUUUUGAUAUACAGAAAAUGAAAAGCACUGCCGCAAUAGCUGUAAUUAUAAAGUGUAGUGAUUUAAAAAAUACAGUGUCUGAAUUUCUUUUUUAAUGCCAGCUGUGUACAUCCAAAUAUGUACUGCUUCCCUUGAAAUGGUCACGGAAGAUUAUAUACUCAUUUUAUGCAUGCUCCUUUUUUGGGGAAUAGCUAUUAGAAUAGUACAUUCUUCUGACUCUUUUCUGUGGUGGCAAGUCUUUAUUUUUUAGAAUAUUUUUUUAUUUUUGAUACAGUCAAUGGUCAUUUAGAAUCUAGUAUUAGGAAAAAGAUGACUGAUCAAACUAAAGAAAAUUUAAAUACAAAUUACAUAUAAAGUAAUAAAACUAAUUUUCUUUUGUUAUUCCAAAAUUUCUGAAGGAAAUUACCAAGGAGAAAUUGCAGGAAUAUUUGUGUAAUAGUAGUAUUAGAGUAAGUUUUUAAAAUCUUUAGAUGACUUGCUUUGUUUUUUCCCCCAGCUUUAUUAAGGUAUAAUUGACAAAUAAAGCUGUAUAUAUUUAAGGUAUACAAUGUUAUGAUUUGAAAUAUGUAUACAUUGUGAAAUGAUUAUGACAAUCAAGUUAAUGAAUAUACCCAUCAUUUCAUGUAGUUGCUAUUUUUUAUAUGUGUAAAAACACUUAAGAUUUACUUUUAGCAUAUUUUUAAUGCAACACAAUAUUAUUAUCUGUAGCCAUCAUGCUGUGCAUCAGAUCCUGGAACUUACUCAUUUCAUAACUGAAAUCUUGUACCCUUUGACCAGGAUCUUCCCAUUUCCCCCACCCCAGCUAACCACCAUUCUACUCUCUGUUUCUAGGAGUUUGCUUUUGUAGAUUCCACAUGUAAGUGAGCUCAUACAGCAAUUUUCUUAGUCUGGCUUAUUUCACGUAGUGCACUGUCCUCCAAGUUGAUCAUGUUGUUGUAGAUGACAGGAUUUCCAUUAGAAUGAGUUCUUGGUCGAUUUAUUUCACGAAUGUCACUCAUUUAGAUAUGUAAGUUAUAGAGGCUUAUUAAAACACCAAUUUCAUUACAUUACAAGCACACCAUGUUUACAAGUGACCUUCUCUAAAAAAUUUUAGAGCUCUGUGUCCCCCAAGUGUACUCUUAGGGAAGAAACAGGAGGUUGUGUAGGAACUGGAGAUUCCUUUAAUACUUUAAUAUUUUCUCACUAAAACCUAUAUCUGUGUAAUGAAAAGACCCUGUGGGUUGAUAAAUAAGAUAGUCACCCUCACAGGAGCUGUGGACUGGCCAUCUAUAUCCACCCACACAUCCAUCCAUCCAUUUACUUUAAAAGGACAAUGAGUCACAGUCCCUUGGCUCAAGAUACUUGGUUUUAUUUGCAUGCUACAUCCAUGCGAACCAAAUACCAGCAUUAGUGGAGUAUAAGUCAGUGGUUUUCAAACUUUAUCUAUGGAAACUUUAUUUUAAUUAAGUGAGGGUGGGAUGGGAAUGGUGCUGAAUCUUUGCCUUUCCUUUUCCCCCUCAAUGAGAAUUACUUGAGCAACUUUUGAAAACCACUGAAAAUAAGUUACCUGGAGGGUCAGCAACAAGUUUGUGUACAGAAACAGCUAGUGAGGCUUAUUGCAUUUCUUCCUUAUUCUUCUGAGAUUAUUAAACAAACAAAAUAUUUUCC